rnacentral:lncRNA from 1 species
GUAGUGGUCUCUGAAGGUCAAGAUAACUGAAAUGGAAACUCUUCCUUAGGUGGCCCUGAAUGAAAAGCAACUGCAACACAGGAGUCCAAGAGGCAGAUGCCGCAACAGGUGUCGCGAGCCGGCGACGCAGAGCACUGUCCAGCAGUGUCUCAAACCUGAAAGAGCAGCGGGGUGGAGAUGGGGCAGAGAGAAAGGAAGGACGCCAAGACAAGAGUUUGAUCAAGGCGACGUUUAUUGCAGGCAAGCAUCAGCCUUUUAAAGGCACAUCAACAGGAAACACCUGACUCCUACAGAUCUUUGGCUAUCCGAGUUUCUCCCGUGCAGGGUCAAAAAGCCAGUGGGCCAUGGCUGGCUUCCCACACAAAG